AAAGAUUGUUUAAUUAUACUGUUUGAUAACUGUUAAUUCAUUCUUUACCUGUUACGCUAUUAUGUGGGCGUGGUUAAGAGGUCCGCUCGCGAGUUCAAUGAAUAGCGUGAGAGUAUUGGACACGGAAAUGAAAGACGAACAGAGGAAAAGGCAGGUGCGCAUUGUGAUGCUCAGUCACCAGUUUGGAGCAUUAUAGCCAAAAAACUGUUAGGAUCACAACUACAGCAUUCCCAGAGCAAGCAGUUUGGCUGAAUAUUAUCAGAUGAGAUGUAGAUGUGGUGUGAUUUGCUUCGGAGUUCGACAGAACUUUAUGAUGUGCGUCAUUGCAGAACAACCACACAUACAUGCACAAUCACACACAACAACAUAAACAUAUACAGAAACAUUUAACUUCAUCUGAUCACCUGUUUUAACACACUCACUCCCCAUUAUACAUUAUACAUUUAUGGCUUAUGAAGAGAAGACGCGGGAAAAUGUGGCAUACUGGCUGAUGACAUCAUUUCUACGGAUCGACUGCUGAAGUGAUCACUGGACCUCCUGUGUAUAAGGUGGACUUAUUCUCUGAACCUAUUGGGACUUAUUUCAUUGGAAUUUAUUUCACCAUUAUUCUCUGAACCUAUUGGGACUUAUUUCAUUGGAAUUAUUUCACCACUAUAUUACAACUUCUCAGUAUUGUAAUUAUUGUCAUUCUUAUAUGAUAAUUGUUGUUAUUUA